rnacentral:pre_miRNA from 1 species
GGCCUCUGCCUGUCCCGGGGAAGGCCGGAUCCUGGGCUGUGUCCCGGCGCCCAGUGCUCCGGAGCCUGCGCUGUUGGAUUCGCGCUCCCGCCCCGCAGCCCCCUCCGCGGAGCCGCCGCCCGA